rnacentral:lncRNA from 1 species
UAGGUGGCAAAGAGUCCGACAGAAUUGAACUGUCCAACAGGAUCUGAUCAGACACAUGAACAGCUCCGUCGACACAUAUAUUGUGGUCGACAGACUGGUAAGAAAUCUAUACAAAACUCUUCACUAGAACUGUAAAAAUUCUUAUAUGUAUGCUUUAAUUAAUUUAAUUUUAUUAUUUAUUUAUUAUAGAUAUAGCAGCUAGGUCAUCUACCA